CAGUCAUACCAACGGGAAAUCAACCUUUUGAGCUCGGUCUCGUGGGUUUUGAAGAGUUUCAAAGCCUUCGGAUUCGCGGGAUUGGGAUCUCUCGGUGUACUUUUUCGUACGGUUAGUCAACAUCGGUUUUGAAUGUCAUAAAAUGAUUGGGGGAAUGUAGCUUCGAUCUCGUAUUGAAGUGUUAUAGCCUUUGGUAGAUGUGAUGUUUGAGACCGAGGAUUGCAACGGAUACCCUUCAGGGCUAUUCGUCUGAUCUCUGAUACGUUGCCCUGAUGUUGAAAGCUUGCUUAUGAUGUUAGGGUAUUACGGUCAAAAGGUUAGAACGAAUUACA
rnacentral:rRNA from 1 species